GAUGAACGCUGGCGGCGUGCCUAAUACAUGCAAGUCGAGCGAAUGGAUUGAGAGCUUGCUCUUAUGAAGUUAGCGGCGGACGGGUGAGUAACACGUGGGUAACCUGCCCAUAAGACUGGGAUAACUCCGGGAAACCGGGGCUAAUACCGGAUAACAUUUUGAACCGCAUGGUUCGAACUUGAAAGGCGGCUUCGGCUGUCACUUAUGGAUGGACCCGCGUCGCAUUAGCUAGAUGGUGAGGUAACGGCUCACCAAGGCAACGAUGCGUAGCCGACCUGAGAGGGUGAUCGGCCACACUGGGACUGAGACACGGCCCAGACUCCUACGGGAGGCAGCAGUAGGGAAUCUUCCGCAAUGGACGAAAGUCUGACGGAGCAACGCCGCGUGAGUGAUGAAGGCUUUCGGGUCGUAAAACUCUGUUGUUAGGGAAGAACAAGUGCUAGUUGAAUAAGCUGGCACCUUGACGGUACCUAACCAGAAAGCCACGGCUAACUACGUGCCAGCAGCCGCCGUAA
rnacentral:rRNA from 1 species